rnacentral:rRNA from 1 species
UGAGGAAUAUUGGUCAAUGGGCGAGAGCCUGAACCAGCCAAGUAGCGUGCAGGAUGACGGCCCUAUGGGUUGUAAACUGCUUUUAUAAGGGAAUAAAGUGGGGCUCGUGAGCUCUUUUGCAUGUACCUUAUGAAUAAGGACCGGCUAAUUCCGUGCCAGCAGCCGCGGUAAUACGGAAGGUCCGGGCGUUAUCCGGAUUUAUUGGGUUUAAAGGGAGCGUAGGCCGCAGGUUAAGCGUGUUGUGAAAUGUAGUGGCUCAACCUCUGCACUGCAGCGCGAACUGGUCUUCUUGAGUACGCACAACGUGGGCGGAAUUCGUAGUGUAGCGGUAGAAAUGCUUAGAUAUCACGAAGAACUCCGAUUGCGAAGGCAGCUCGA